rnacentral:rRNA from 1 species
AUUGAACGCUGGCGGCAGGCUUAACACAUGCAAGUCGAGCGGGGUGAUGGUGCUUGCACUAUCACUUAGCGGCGGACGGGUGAGUAAUGCUUAGGAAUCUGCCUAUUAGUGGGGGACAACAUCUCGAAAGGGAUGCUAAUACCGCAUACGUCCUACGGGAGAAAGCAGGGGAUCACUUGUGACCUUGCGCUAAUAGAUGAGCCUAGGUCGGAUUAGCUAGUGGGUGGGGUAAAGGCCUAGCAAGGCGACGAUCUGUAGCGGGUCUGAGAGGAUGAUCCGCCACACUGGGACUGAGACACGGCCCAGACUCCUACGGGAGGCAGCAGUGGGGAAUAUUGGACAAUGGGGGGAACCCUGAUCCAGCCAUGCCGCGUAUGUGAAGAAGGCCUUAUGGUUGUAAAGCACUUUAAGCGAGGAGGAGGCUCUUUUGGUUAAUACCCAAGAUGAGUGGACGUUACUCGCAGAAUAAGCACCGGCUAACUCUGUGCCAGCCGCCGCAGUAA